UCCGCCUUGGUGUAAUUGGCAGCACACGGGUCUUUGGUGCCCUUGGUUCAGGUUCGAGUCCUGGGGGCGGAG
rnacentral:tRNA from 1 species